rnacentral:lncRNA from 13 species
GGUGGAGAAACCUACAUGGGCUUCUGGGUGCUGGAGUUCGGGCUGAAGCUUUCCGCUCAUUCCGCGUGACCUUGGGUGCGUGCCUGCUCCUGCCGUGCCUCAGUUUCCCCGGCUGGUAAGGGGAGACCUGGGGAGGUGAGAGGGCGCAGGGAAGCAGCCGCCACUAGGUGGAGCGAGGAGGCCGGUGCAGACGCCACGCGCUCCGGAGCUGCAGAGGCUGGAGCUGGCUGCGCUGCGUGGACGCCCACGGCCCCCCUGCCCCGCAGACAGCGUCCCUGGGAGCCGGACACCCUGUGAGGGGCGCGCGCCAGGUGCAGGAGGGAAGUGUCCCGGGCGCGUGGUUUGGGACCUGGAUCCCGGAGCGGAAAGUCACAGGCGCGCCCAGAAGACAGAAGACUUGCAGCGCCCGGGGACGGGGUAAAAGAGCCGGUUCUUCAGAAGAGACAGGACCUCGGGAGCCUAGAACCUUCCACCAACACGGAAAAGCACCUCACAGCAAACCACAUGGCAAACCUUGGACUCUCAGUGCCUCCACUCAGAACCGGUAACGUUGACGC